rnacentral:rRNA from 1 species
AACGCGAAGAACCUUACCAGGUCUUGACAUCCUUUGACCACUCUAGAGAUAGAGCUUUCCCUUCGGGGACAAAGUGACAGGUGGUGCAUGGUUGUCGUCAGCUCGUGUCGUGAGAUGUUGGGUUAAGUCCCGCAACGAGCGCAACCCUUAUUGUUAGUUGCCAUCAUUUAGUUGGGCACUCUAGCGAGACUGCCGGUGACAAACCGGAGGAAGGUGGGGAUGACGUCAAAUCAUCAUGCCCCUUAUGACCUGGGCUACACACGUGCUACAAUGGGAGGUACAACGAGUCGCUAGACCGCGAGGUCAUGCAAAUCUCUUAAAGCUUCUCUCAGCUCGGAUUGCAGGCUGCAACUCGCCUGCAUGAAGCCGGAAUCGCUAGUAAUCGCGGAUCAGCACGCCGCGGUGAAUACGUUCCCGGGCCUUGUACACACCG